rnacentral:rRNA from 1 species
GAUGAACGCUAGCGGCAGGCUUAACACAUGCAAGUCGAGGGGCAGCAUGGUCUUCGGACUGAUGGCGACCGGCAAACGGGUGCGGAACACGUACAGAAUCUGCCUUUAUCUGGGGGAUAGCCUUUGGAAACGAAGGUUAAUACCCCAUAGUAUUAUUAGGUGGCAUCACCUUGAUAAUUAAAGACUUUCGGAUAGAGAUGACUGUGCGUACUAUUAGCUAGUUGGUAGGGUAACGGCCUACCAAGGCUACGAUAGUUAGCUGCUGUGAGAGCAUGAUCCGCCACACGGGGACUGAGACACGGCCCAGACUCCUACGGGAGGCAGCAGUGGGGAAUAUUGGACAAUGGGGGGAACCCUGAUCCAGCCAUGCCGCGUGUGUGAAGCAGGCCUUAUGGUUGUAAAGCACUUUAAGCGAGGAGGAGGCUACUCUAGUUAAUACCUAGGGAUAGUGGACGUUACUCGCAGAAUAAGCACUGGCUAACUCUGUGCCAGCCGCCGCAGUAA